rnacentral:rRNA from 1 species
GUCAAAUCAUCAUGCCCCUUAUGACCUGGGCUACACACGUGCUACAAUGGAUAGUACAAAGGGUCGCGAAGCCGCGAGGUGGAGCUAAUCCCAUAAAACUAUUCUCAGUUCGGAUUGUAGGCUGCAACUCGCCUACAUGAAGCCGGAAUCGCUAGUAAUCGUGGAUCAGCAUGCCACGGUGAAUACGUUCCCGGGCCUUGUACACACCGCCCGUCACACCACGAGAGUUUGUAACACCCGAAGUCGGUAGGGUAACCUUUAUGGAGCCAGCCGCCGAAGGUGGGACAGAUAAUUGGGGUGAAGUCGUAACAAGGUAGCCGUAUCGGAAGGUGCGGCUGGAUCACCUCCUUUCUAAGGAA